GUGGUUCUAUCACAGUCGCUUAAAUUAUUUUAUUUGAUUAAAACCUGAUUUUAAAGCAUGCUAACUUAUAUGCCAUUUAUUUAUAAACCUCUUUUAUCUUUAUUUAUUUUUAAAAGCCUUGCGACGUUGUGAAAACACGUCCCUGACCGCGUCGCCGUCAAGGCACACGUAGUCAUACACAUUUCGACUUCAUCAAGACUUGGAUUUGGAUCGCAAUCAAUGCACACCCGAGUUUAAGAAAAUAAUUUAUUUAAAUUGCGCAUAAAUGUUCUAACGCAAUGUUAUAUGGGAAAGGCAGUUGAAAUUUGCUAAGCGGCCCUUCCGAAUUCUAAUCAUUUUUAAUAACUAAUAAUUGAGUCCCCCACAUUUAUUCUUGUUCGGUGAGGCUCGUCUCCAAUUUCGAACCAUUUUUAAUCUUUAUUCGUUUUAUAAGAAUUACGACAUCAUGAAAACGCGUCUCUGACCGCGUCACCAUCAAGGCACCCGUGGUUAUCAACACAUUUCGACUUCGUCGAGAUUUGGAUUUGGGUUGCAUUAAUGAACAGCCGAAUUUAGGAAGGUAUUUUAGUUAAACGCGUCUAAAGAUUCUAGCGUAUUAUUACCUUUUGGAAGGGCCGUGAAAUUCACUAAACGGCACGUCCCGAAUUCUAAGCAAUUCAACUUAAGGCAACCAAAUUAUUUGGUAUAAAAAAUUCUGCACAAAUAAAUCAUUUGGUAUGAAUAUGCAUUUAGGCACUUCACCACCACAAAACAAAACUAGACAGAAGGAGCAAUGUUUUUUUUUAGUACAAACACUAAGACGAAAGCAGAAUAAAUUUAGGCCUACGAAUUUAUUACUUUAUGUGAGUAAAACUUAGUAGACAAAUGUUAAGUUCAUCAGCAAAACAACAUCAUACUCAAAUAUAUUUGAAUUAUGCUAAUGGAACCAAAGAUAAACAAAGGGAGGAACUCAAAGCUAAAAUCAACAAUUGAGCCAACUAGUCUUUCAGAACUGAGCAGAAACUGAUAAAACAUUUUUCAUUUCAUGAGCUAAACAAACCAACAAAACUCAGCUAACAACGGUGGAGAUUGAAACUUUAAUUCCCAUGCCAAAACUUUGCAACACAUUUCACUCAUUAGUUAUAUUUAUUACUUGAUUUUAAAUGCAGACAACUUGGUAUAUGGAGAAUAAAGUAUAAUACGUCAUUUUCACAACAUAAAAGCAAACAGAGGGAAAAUAGAAGAAAACAUAUAGUAGAAUAGUGUUUUAUUGCAUUCAUGCCUAGAGCCGAUCACUUCAUCAAUGAAAAACCAGUUCUCUUAGAACUACAUAGUGCAGCACAAGAACAACAUAACAAACGCAUCAACGAGCAACUGAAACAACCAAACAAGUAGUGAAAAAAUCUAGCCAUCAUUCCUAAGAAGCAUUCACAGCAUCAUUUACUUUCAAAAAUAAACUUCUCAUGUCUGCAUAUUUUCACAUUAGCUCACAUGAACUCUCAUUUUAAACAUAGAAACCAAAAGAUGAAUUUCAGCAAUUUAUAACCAACUCGAAGAGCUUCAUAUGAACUAAUCAAGCACUUAUUUUAGAGAUUAACCGGAUAGAGACAGUAAUUGGAAUUACCCUACGGUUUCAAUCAAAACCAAUAUAUCAAGGAAUUUGGACACCCAGAUAUAUCAUUUUCUAAACAUACAUUCAAUCAUUUUCUCAUUUAAUGAAAAUAAUACAAGGAAUUGGGACUAACCUAGUUUAAUUCAAAGCUCAGUCAACAGCAGUCACAACGCGAUUUCCAAUCUCAGCUUGAACACCCAGAUAUAUCAACUUAAAUUUCUAAACUCGACCACAAAAUACAACUUGAUUCAAGUCGAUUGCAGCAACAACAAAAUAGGAAGAAACUACAGCGACUCGACCCGACGACCUCUCAUAAUCCCGACAAACUAGAACUCAAACGGGUUGGUUUUGGAGCUGAUUUUCAGUGAGCUAUUAGAGCUCUAUCUGGCUGGAUUUGGUGGCUGAUUGCAGCAAGUUUCAGCUGCCUUUUUGGGGUAUAUUUGGACUAUUUUUCGAGCAGAUUUUCGCCGGGUUUUGGGGCUGUUUUUCAGCAGUUCUUCAGCGGGAUUUUGUAACUGAUUUAGAGCAGUUUCAGGGCGUUCUUUUGGAGGUGAUUAGCGACUGGAUUUUUGGGUGUUAUGUUGUGUGUGUUCUUAGGAAAAAAUGGGGAAAUUCGCGUGUCCUCCCUUCUUCUAUCUGAUCUCUGUAUUUGUAUGUGAAGGAGUGAAAAAGAAGGGUUGAAAAAUUGGGGAACGAGACACGCCUUUUCCGUGUGUCUAAGGGGAGGGUAUCAGCUAAAUGGAAUUUGGGCCAUGGGUCAUGGGUUUUUGGGUUGGAUUCAAUUGGCUGAGCUGUUUGGCCCAAAUUUGGGUCUUAAGACCAACCUUUUAAUUUGUUUUUUCUUAGGCUUUUCUCUUUUAUCUCUUUUAUUAAUUAAUUAAAAUCCUAAAUUAUUUUUAUAGACAUUAAAACAACUAACUAACUUAAAACUAAAGAAAAAUGCUAAUUUUAAAGAUUAGAAGCUAAAGAUGAUCAUUUUUUGUGAUUUUUCUUAAUGAAAUUAAUUCCUAUAUGAAAAUUGGACCUAAGGUGACAUAAAAUUAAAACGUGACAUUUUGUGUGAUUUUUCUAUGAUUUUAGAAUAUUAAAAAUGUAUGAAAUGCAACUAAAUAAAGAAAAACUUCUAAAAUCCAUAAAAAGUCAUUUUUGGUAUAUUUUUAGGAGUUAUCUUCAUCCAGGGCAAAAAUCACGUGCUUACAGCUGCCCCUCUUUGCUCGGAAACACGAAAACUUUUCAGGCAAAGAUAAAAUAAGCACUGUGAGGGAUUUUUGCCCAUUUGAAACUCCAUGAGAAGUAUUUUUAAAAAACUGUCUGACCGAACCUUGCUUCACAGGUUGCCUACAUAUCCUUGGCUAUAAAGGAAUCAGGUCAAGUGUAGUUCAGAAGUUUUGGUAGUUGGAACUACCGAGAAGCUGUGAUUUCGCUGUUGUUUCUGCUUGCUGAGCUCCUUAUUACACCAAAGAGGAAAAUCAAAAGCAAAGCUAGCUAAUCCUAUCAACUACGAGUUACAAGAUUCCUAUCUAUAAAUCUCUUGAAGCUUGAUCUUGAAUCUUAGAUGGUUCUUACUGUAGACUUCGAUCUGAAUCUUGAUGCUCGCGAGGUGUGAGGGCUUGUUUCUUUCUGCAGCCUUGAGUCAAAGUAGCUUGUGACUUUGAUCAAAAUUUGAGCAAUCCACAACCUGGCUUGCCUCCCAUUUGAGUUUAUUUCUUUUUGUUCUUUUCUUAUUUUCUUACUUGAAUUGGGGACUCAUUUCUUCAGUCAUGUCGCCCAUUGUGCCUUGUGGUCAAAACCUAUUUAAAAGUACCAAAACAAACAAACGAACGAAAUUUUCUGCCCCAGUUUUACUAGGAAAAUUUUGUGAGUCAAUUGUGACACAUACGAAAAUCAAACUAGAAGAGGCAUUUCAGAUUUGGCCAAACAUUCUCGAUUAUUAAACCGGAUUUCGAAAAGAAAAAGCUCCACAGUUUUCUGGCCGUGAGAUCCUCGGUUUUUUUGCUAGGAUAUUUUUAAAAGAAAAGGCUCCACGGUUUUGUAGCCGGGAGAUCCUCGAUUUUUUGGCCGGGAUAUUUUGAAAAACAAAAGCUCCACGGUUUUCUGGCAGGGAGAUCCUCGGUUUUUGGCCGGGAUAUUUGAAAAGAAAAAGCUCCACGGUUUUCUGACCGGGAGAUCCUCGUUUUUUUGACCGGGAUAUUUGAAAGCUUAAAAGCUCCACGGUUUUCUGGCCGGGAGAUCCUCGUUUUUUUGGUUGGUAUAUUUUGAAAAGAAGAAGCUCCAUGGUUUUCUGGCCGGGAGGUCCUCGAUUUUCUAGGGGGGAUAUUUGAAAGCAAAAAGCUCCACGGUUUUCUGGUCGGGAGAUCUUCGGUUUUUUGGCUGGGAUAUUUUGAAAAGAAAAAGCUCCACGGUUUUUUGGCCGGUAGGUCCUCAGUUUUCUGGUCACGAUAUUUUGAAAAGAAAAUUCUCCACGAUUUUCUGGCCGGGAGGUCCUCGAUUUUUGGCCGGGAUAUUUGAAAAAAAAAGCUCCACGGUUUUCUGGCCGGGAGAUCCUCGAUUUUCUGACCGGGAUAUUUUGAAAAGAAAGAGCUCCACGGUUUUCUGGCAGGGAGAUCCUCGGUUUUCUGGCCGGGAUUUUGAAAAGAAAAAGCUAAGCUACCAUGAUUUGAUUCUCUUUUGGGGAUUUUCAUUUCCCAUUUUUUUCCUUUUUCUUUAUUGGGGUUUUCUUUUUAGAUGUUUUUCUUUUUUAUUUAUCAAAAUGCAUGAAAGAAUAUUUUGAAAAGAAACAUUCCUUUUGGGUCGUUUCCCUAUUGCAGAGCUAUUUCAACACUCGCGCAUUUCAUUUCUUUUUGGGAUGCACCUACUUCUUGCACAACUGUUUUGAAUAAGACCUGUUUUCAACAAAGAACAAUUUAUUAGUUGAAACGGUGGUUGGGUUUAUGGCCUUGAUCAUCUCCAUCUCUUGAUCCUAGACCCAUUUCCAUUGAGAAUUCUGCUGCUUGUUGACCUUGAGGGUGGAUCUCUUUCACACUGACCAGGUUCAGCCUUAGGAUUUCCUGAUGACUCGUCCGUGUAGGCUCUGGUUUUAUACCUCAUUUGCUAUCUAGACCUUUGCCUUUGGCUUUCUUUCUUUUCUAAUGUCUUUCACUUUGGAGGCAAUCAACCACCAUGGUCAGUGGGGAUUGGACUGGCGUACCACUGAGGCUGAGUAUUUUCUUUGACUCUUUCCGGGCGGAGCCCUGUGAAACUGGUCCUGCCACCUUUUUCUUUGUAAUUAUUUUGGAAUCAGAGUUAAAUCGAAAGGUAUUCAAAGAAAUGUAUGCAAAAGGCAAGCAUAUGAGUUUAAAGAGAAGCGUCUCCUUCGGGGGAAAAGAAGGACUUAUCUGGGGUGCAUGCUGGCUCCAAAUGAACAUGAUAUGCUUCUUGGACUGGACGCCAAUCAGUCGGGAUUGGACUAGCGCACCACUGAGGCUGAGUAUUUCUUUGACUCUUGCCAGGUGGAGCCCUGUGAAACCGAUCCUGGCACCUUUUCUUUGUAAUUACUACAGAAUCAAAGUUAAACCGAAAGGGAUUCAAAGAAAAAUAUGAAAAAGGCAAGUAUAUGAGUUUAAAGAGAAGCGUCCCUUUCGGGGGAAAAGAAGGACUUAUCUGGGGUGCAUGCUGACUCCAAAUGAACAUGACAUUUUCCUUGGACUGGACGCCCGACCCGCACCAACUUCCAACUUCUCAUGAACCCAUCGACCCAUAUUUCCAAACUUGGGAACCUUGCCAAGGCUUUUAGUGAUGAAGUAUCCUCUUUUCGGCCGACAACACCCUUUGCGAGUUUUCGCCUAUUCGACCUCUCUCAUUUCUCCUCACUGUCGCCGGAUAGUUCUCUUUGAGAGUUUUCACUAAGUAGACUCUCUCAUAUUUGUUUUCUCUACUCACCAUCGCAUUAUGGUGCCCGAAGGUUUUCAUCGAUAAGACUCUCUUAUUUUAUUUCUCUUAAUUUAAAUUGUAUCAGAUUCCAACAAUGACGUUUCCCACUUUGCGGUCUUUGCCAAUUGAUCAAAAGGACUUGGAUAAGGUCUUUGGGUAAAAGUACUUUGGGUGAAACUACAACUUUGGAACCAUUUCGGCGGUCUCAUGGCCGAACCAUUAUAUCAUCUGCCCCAGNNNN
rnacentral:lncRNA from 1 species